rnacentral:rRNA from 2 species
UAUACAUGCAAGUCGAGCGAACUGAUUAGAAGCUUGCUUCUAUGACGUUAGCGGCGGACGGGUGAGUAACACGUGGGCAACCUGCCUGUAAGACUGGGAUAACUUCGGGAAACCGAAGCUAAUACCGGAUAGGAUCUUCUCCUUCAUGGGAGAUGAUUGAAAGAUGGUUUCGGCUAUCACUUACAGAUGGGCCCGCGGUGCAUUAGCUAGUUGGUGAGGUAACGGCUCACCAAGGCAACGAUGCAUAGCCGACCUGAGAGGGUGAUCGGCCACACUGGGACUGAGACACGGCCCAGACUCCUACGGGAGGCAGCAGUAGGGAAUCUUCCGCAAUGGACGAAAGUCUGACGGAGCAACGCCGCGUGAGUGAUGAAGGCUUUCGGGUCGUAAAACUCUGUUGUUAGGGAAGAACAAGUACAAGAGUAACUGCUUGUACCUUGACGGUACCUAACCAGAAAGCCACGGCUAACUACGUGCCAGCAGCCGCGGUAAUACGUAGGUGGCAAGCGUUAUCCGGAAUUAUUGGGCGUAAAGCGCGCGCAGGCGGUUUCUUAAGUCUGAUGUGAAAGCCCACGGCUCAACCGUGGAGGGUCAUUGGAAACUGGGGAACUUGAGUGCAGAAGAGAAAAGCGGAAUUCCACGUGUAGCGGUGAAAUGCGUAGAGAUGUGGAGGAACACCAGUGGCGAA